AGCAGCCGCGGUAAUUCCAGCUCCAAUAGCGUAUAUUAAAGUUGUUGCAGUUAAAAAGCUCGUAGUUGAAUUUCGGGGUUAGUAGGUUGGUCGUGCCUUUGGUAUGUACUGGUCUCACUGAUUCCUCCUUCUUGAAGAACUGUAAUGUCAUUAAUUUGGUGUUGCAGGGAAACAGGACUGUUACUUUGAAAAAAUUAGAGUGUUUAAAGCAGGCUAAUGCCUGAAUACAUUAGCAUGGAAUAAUGAAAUAGGACGUUUGAUCCUAUUUUGUUGGUUUCUAGGAUUGACGUAAUGAUUAAUAGGGAUAGUUGGGGGCAUUAGUAUUCAAUUGUCAGAGGUGAAAUUCUUGGAUUUAUUGAAGACUAACUACUGCGAAAGCAUUUGCCAAGGAUGUUUUCAUUAAUCAAGAACGAAAGUUAGGGGAUCGAAGACGAUCAGAUACCGUCGUAGUCUUAACCAUAAACUAUGCCGACUAGGGAUCGGAUGAAGUUAAUUUUUAAUGACUCAUUCGGCGCCUUAC
rnacentral:rRNA from 1 species